UAAGUUCAGAGGCUGCAAGUUGCUAGGUUAUUGUGAGAGUGUAAACACUUGGGUUGGGGAUUAUAAGCUUGAUCAUCAUAAGCUUAUCAAACACUUUGGGAAGUGAGGUUCGUUAGUAUCUCGGUUGUGGUUAGAUUGGUCUUUCAAGUCUUUGAGGAAAUCUAAGCUCUUGAGCACAUAAGUUUUGGAGUGUUCCAAAAAGUCCCAACUCAGUCCACAUAUCCCGGUAACUUUGGUAAGGAAAAUAGGCUAGAAUCAAUAUGUUUAUGUUUAUGUUAUCUUAUGUGUUAUGUUAUGAUAUGUUAUGAAUAUGUUAUGAUUGUGUAUGUUUGUAGGCUUGGGCUUAUGCCCUAUUUGACUAACAAGACCCCAAAAAGAUUGUGGGCAUAAGCCUAUUUAGCUGGUAGGACCCCACUAAUCUCAUGGGCAUAAGCUUGUUUAGUCUAUGGGACCCCAAGUAAUAAUGGCCAUUAUAAUAAGUGUAUUAUGUGUUAUGAUAUGUCUUUAUGUUUAUUACGAAAUUUAUGUUUAUGACUAUGUGUUAUGACUAUGUGUUAGAUUUUCCUUGCUGGGCAUUAGGCUCAUUCCUUUCUGUUUAUGUGCAGGAAAAUAAGCUUUAGAGGCAGUAAGAUUCGUGACGCUUAGAGGAUGUGUAUCGAUGGUGGAUGGAGUCAAGGAGCCGAGCGUUAUUCGAUUCGAGGAUGUAGUCUUGUUUAUGUUUUUAUGGUUUUAAAUGUAUUUUCCACAUUUUCUAUGUAACUCUUUUUACUUUAAGUUAUUUUUGUUUUAAAGACAAUGGGUACCCAUAUCCUAUUUAUUUUAUGAAAGUAACCUUUGUUUCUACAAGUUUCUAAUAAAGUAUGGUAUUUCCGCAAAAA